AUUUGGUGAUGAGGGCAAGAUGCACAUAGCUUCUUAAAUCUCUCCCAAUACUCAUACAAACUCUCUCCAUGUUAUUGUCAAAUGCCACAUAUUUCUUUCCUAAUGUU
rnacentral:snoRNA from 1 species